rnacentral:lncRNA from 1 species
GUUUUACAUCCCAGUGGAACUGCUUUGGAAGUUGUCCACUACUUGUGAUCCAGACAGCUGAGCUGUUUAUGAGAUGGACAUUAUUUGAAUUCUCACAUCUCCUUUCAUCAGGGGUCAAGGCACUGCCAUUUGCUGUUGGGCACAUUUGUGUGGUUCAGCUAAGAAGAUUUUUCUGUGAUGGCUGCUGGCUCAAUAGCUCUGGAAGCAAGAGCUGAAAAUUCAAGCACUGGAAUGCAAGAUAAAUAUUCUUCUGCCAGCUGGUGAAGGAGAAGUGGGGACAGGUGAUGAUAAAGGACUGCUUUAUCAAAGAAAAUCGGGUUCAAUUAAAAGAGAGGGAAGAGAGAGGUAAAGGGACUGACAAUUGUGGUUUUCUGGUUAGAAGGGGAUACUGUAGAAUGAACAGCAAAACAGGAAGAGAGGUGAGGCUGUGAAAAAAACCAACUGAAAGCAUAAAAAGUGAUAGGAAAGAUAUAUUGUGUGUUAGGGAUUGGCCAGGAUUAGAAAAAGUCAAAAUCCAAGAGAAAAACGAAGGUCAUGUCUGAUUUUUAAGGAGGAAGGAGAGGAAUAGCAUUUAAAUAUGAGAAUUUGAAUAGGGAAAAUUUAUGAUGGUGGUGGAAGUGGAAAUGGGGAGAAAUACUAGAAAAGAGACAUAAAAAAAAAAAAAAAGGAAGAAAACUCCGUAUUUUACUCUGGCUUUAAUGACUCAGUAAUUACAAUUGGGUGGUACAGAUUUGGAGCCCUUUUCAUUUAAAAUGGAAUAUGUCAAUGGAGGACAAAUUAAACAUCUGAUAUCUGGAAGCAUUGCAGGUGGUGAAUUAGAAAGUUAAAUACAUCUUGUCCAGCCUCCAUGGGUAUUCACUUGUAAUACCACACCAAUUAUGCAGAUCUUCCUAUUCAUAAAACACACUUGUGUAAGCAUUACCAUCAUAAAUGACCCAUUCUUGGAAGAUGACAAAGAAUACAUUGUAAGGGCUUUAUAAAACAAUUAUAACAGGUGAAAAACUCCUGCAUUCCUUUCUCGUUAUGUUUUAGGCACUUCUGGGAACAAGAAAGGUACUGAGUUCCUUAUAUACUUAACCACUACCAUGCAAUUUUGAGCCUGACAAACUAGCUAGACCUCAGCUAAGCUAAGGGAAAAUAAAGUCCUCAUUGUUAAGCCA